rnacentral:rRNA from 1 species
UACGGAGGGUGCAAGCGUUAUCCGGAUUUACUGGGUUUAAAGGGUGCGUAGGUGGGUAGAUAAGUCAGCGGUGAAAUCUCCGGGCUUAACUCGGAAACUGCCGUUGAUACUAUCUGUCUUGAAUAUCCUGGAGGUGAGCGGAAUAUGUCAUGUAGCGGUGAAAUGCUUAGAUAUGACAUAGAACACCCAUUGCGAAGGCAGCUCACUACGGGAUUAUUGACACUGAGGCACGAAAGCGUGGGGAUCAAACAGG